rnacentral:rRNA from 1 species
GCCAACACUAGCCCAAAAACCAAUCAAUACUACUACCAAACAAAUAUAUAAAUACUAAACCAUUCACAAAUAUAAAAGUAUAGGUGAUAGAAAAUUUAUUCUGGCGCUAUAGACACAGUACCGUAAGGGAAAGAUGAAAAAAAAAGACUAAGCACAAAAUAGCAAGGACUCACCCCUAUACCUUCUGCAUAAUGAGCCAGCUAGAGAAUAUUUCGCAAAGAGAACUAAAGCCAAACACCCCGAAACCAGACGAGCUACCUAAAAACAGCUAAAAGAGCGCACCCGUCUAUGUGGCAAAAUAGUGGGAAGAUUUUUAGGUAGAGGCGAUACACCCACCGAGCCUGGCGAUAGCUGGUUAUCCAAGAUAGAAUCUUAGUUCAACCUUAAGCCUACCCGCAGAACCACCAAUCCCUCUGUAAGCUUAAUUGUUAGUCUAAAGAGGGACAGCUCUUUAGACACUAGGAAAAAACCUUAUAUAGAGAGUAAAAAUUCCAGGCCCCCAUAGUUGGCCUAAAAGCAGCCAUCAAUUAAGAAAGCGUUCAAGCUCAACAUUAAGCACCCAAAAAAUUCCAAACAUUUAACUGAACUCCUAACAUCACAUUGGAUUAAUCUAUUAUAUUAUAGAAAUAAUAAUGCUAGUAUUAGUAACAUGAAUAAAUUCUCCUACGCAUAAGCCUAAAUCGGACCGAAAGCCUCACCGAUAUUUAACAGCCCAAAUACUAAUAAUUAUAAACAAGCCAGUAUUACUAGUACUGUUAACCCAACACAGGCAUGCUGUUAAGGAAAGGUUAAAAGAAGUAAAAGGAACUCGGCAAAUACAACCCCGCCUGUUUACCAAAAACAUCACCUCUAGCAUUACUAAUAUUAGAGGCACUGCCUGCCCAGUGACAUACGUUUAACGGCCGCGGUACCCUGACCGUGCAAAGGUAGCAUAAUCACUUGUUCUUUAAAUAGGGACUUGUAUGAAUGGCAACACGAGGGUUUAACUGUCUCUUACUUCCAACCAGUGAAAUUGACCUGCCCGUGAAGAGGCGGGCAUAAAAUAAUAAGACGAGAAGACCCUGCGGAGCUUUAAUUUACUAAUGCAAUCAUAAUAAUAUAAACCCAUGGGUUUAACAUAUUCCUGACCCUGCAUUUAAAAUUUUGGUUGGGGUGACCUCGGAGCAUAGCUAAACCUCCGAAUAGACUGUGCCAAGACUAGACAAGUUAAAGCGAAUUAAUAUCUACAAUUGACCCAAUAAUUUGAUCAACGGAAUAAGUUACCCCAGGGAUAACAGCGCAAUCCUAUUCCAGAGUCCAUAUCGACAAUAGGGUUUACGACCUCGAUGUUGGAUCAGGACAUCCUAAUGGUGCAGCAGCUAUUAAGGGUUCGUUUGUUCAACGAUUAAAGUCCUACGUGAUCUGAGUUCAGACCGGAGUAAUCCAGGUCGGUUUCUAUCUAUUCUACAUUUCUCCCUGUACGAAAGGACAAGAGAAAUAAGGCCUACUUCAUAAAGUGCCUUCCUUCCAUAAAUGACCUAGUCUCAAUUUAACAAAAAUCACACACAUAACCCAAGAACAGGGCUU